rnacentral:rRNA from 1 species
GACGAACGCUGGCGGCGUGCUUAACACAUGCAAGUCGAACGGAAAGGCCCUGCUUUUGUGGGGUGCUCGAGUGGCGAACGGGUGAGUAACACGUGAGUAACCUGCCCUUGACUUUGGGAUAACUUCAGGAAACUGGGGCUAAUACCGGAUAGGAGCUCCUGCUGCAUGGUGGGGGUUGGAAAGUUUCGGCGGUUGGGGAUGGACUCGCGGCUUAUCAGCUUGUUGGUGGGGUAGUGGCUUACCAAGGCUUUGACGGGUAGCCGGCCUGAGAGGGUGACCGGCCACAUUGGGACUAAGGUACGGCCCAGACGCCUACGGGAGGCAGCAGUGGGGAAUAUUGCACAAUGGGCGGAAGCCUGAUGCAGCAACGCCGCGUGCGGGAUGACGGCCUUCGGGUUGUAAACCGCUUUCGCCUGUGACGAAGCGUGAGUGACGGUAAUGGGUAAAGAAGCACCGGCUAACUACGUG